UACGUAGGGACCGAGCGUUGUCCGGAUUCAUUGGGCGUAAAGAGCUCGUAGGCGGUUUGUCGCGUCUGCCGUGAAAGUCCGGGGCUCAACUCCGGAUCUGCGGUGGGUACGGGCAGACUAGAGUGAUGUAGGGGAGAACGGAAUUCCUGGUGUAGCGGUGAAAUGCGCAGAUAUCAGGAGGAACACCGGUGGCGAAGGCGGUUCUCUGGGCAUUACCUGACGCUGAGGAGCGAAAGUGUGGGGAGCGAACAGG
rnacentral:rRNA from 1 species